UUAAUCUCUCAACUAUCAUGUUUGAGUGAACCAUUUCUACAUUUCCUAUAUUAUGACACUUCAUGCCAAAAAUGCUGUAUCUUCCAUGUGGUAAAAAUUACAUAGAAUAGAAUGAACCUGUAAAUGUGUAGUGUAAGGAAAUUUAACAAAUGUAUGUAGCCAUUACCAUAGAUAAGAGUAAAACCUUGUGUCUAUUGCUAUCAGUAAUUCUUUUCCUCACUUCUGACUCCACGGAACUGCUGAUCUAUGUUUUUGUCAAUACAAAUUAGUUUUGCACAUUGUUGAAUUUCAUAUAAAUGAAACCAUACAGUUUGUCCUCAUGUGUCUGAAUUUUUUCACACACCCUCAUUAUUUUGGGAUUCAUUUAUGUUCUUGUAUAUAUCUGUAGUUCAUUUUUUUUAAUUGCUGAGAACAGUUCAAUUUUAUGGAUAAGCAGUGAUUUGUUUAUUCAUUUAUAUGACAAUACAAAUUUAGGUU
rnacentral:lncRNA from 1 species